rnacentral:lncRNA from 1 species
UAAACAUGAAGUAAUAGAUAUAAGAUGUUGCUACAUGAAUUGUUCAACUAUUGCAUACUAUUGGAUCCCUGUAACUUAUAAUUGGUAUCUUAGCUAUGCACAUCUAUCUUAUUCAAGAUCUGCCACACAUAUCAUUUUCAAGACAGACAACUAUUUAAUAAUUCAAAAGCAAUCCCUAGUAACUACCAUUGUGUACAAGGUAAAGCAUUAUUGCUUCCAUUCAAAUUU